UGGGGAAUAUUGGACAAUGGGGGCAACCCUGAUCCAGCAAUGCCGCGUGAGUGAUGAAGGCCUUAGGGUUGUAAAGCUCUUUCGGCGGGGACGAUGAUGACGGUACCCGCAGAAGAAGCCCCGGCUAACUUCCUGCCAGCAGCCGCGGUAAUACGAAGGGGGCUAGCGUUGUUCGGAAUUACUGGGCGUAAAGGGCGCGCAGGCGGCCGCUCAAGUCAGGUGUGAAAGCCCCGGGCUCAACCUGGGAACUGCACUUGAUACUGAGUGGCUAGAGUUCGGGAGAGGAGAGUGGAAUUCCCAGUGUAGAGGUGAAAUUCGUAGAUAUUGGGAAGAACACCGGUGGCGAAGGCGGCUCUCUGGACCGAUACUGACGCUGAGGCGCGAAAGCGUGGGGAGCAAAC
rnacentral:rRNA from 1 species